rnacentral:tRNA from 4 species
ACUAGGUGGCUGAAAGUAAGUAAUGGUCUCUUAAACCAAACUAUAGUAAAUUAACAUCUACUUCUAGUG